rnacentral:lncRNA from 1 species
AGAGGGACACUCUGGGAUCCCCCCUCCAGCCCCUUUCUUGGGCUCCUGAUGGAGACAAAAUGUCAGGGCCACCCGCUCAUGGCAGAUAAUGCCAAAGGCUGCGAUGGCCCCUGGGUUGUUCGCCCACUUCUGACAAAAAGGCUGCGGCCUCCCGGGGCUCCCGUCAUGUGCGCGUUCGUCCCCUGGCGCAGACUCGCCCAGGCCCCGGGGCAGAGCGGGGCCCUGUGGCAGCAGCGCCCUGGCAGCAGUGUUUCCCCGCUGACGCUCCCCUGCAGCACAACUCCCGCAGCCCAGGGCCAGCCCGGCGCUGCUCCCCCUUGCUCCCCRCCCUCCGCCCUGGCCCCGGCCCCUGCCGGCAGCAGCUACCGCAGGCUCCGUGCACAGGAGCACACGCCGGGCCGCAGCGUCGCUCCGGGCUCCCUGCGCAGCAGCCGCCAACACCCACCGCUGCCAAAGCUCCUUCUCCGCGGCCUCGAGAGCGGCGCCGCGGGGGGGGCGGGGCCGGCGGCACCAGGGGCGGUGGCCAUGGACACACAGGCCCCGCCCCCACAGGGCCGGAAGUGCCGCCUCCCACGGAGCAUGCGCACUGGCGCAGAGGAGGGCAGCGAAGGGCGGGGCCGGGGCUGCCCGGGCCCUGCGGGUAGGGAGGGAGGGGGCGAGAGGCGGCUGGUGCCGCGCGGGGCAGCGUCUCCGGGCGCGGGGCCACCUGGAGCCUUGAGCCGCAGCGCCGGGAGCUGCCGCGCCGGGGCCGAGGGCCGCGGGCUGGGCAGAGCGAGUGGCUGUGCGCGCGGGGGCAGCUGGAGGCGCCGCGGCCCGGUGUGUGCGAGCAGCUGCUGGGGAAGGCCCAGCCCGGCCUGGGCCGCCUCCGGCCCCGCGGGAGCCCCUGGCUCUUGGGCCCCUUCUCCUGUCAGGCCAGUGACAGUGUUAUAGGUAAACGUGACAAAUUGACAACCACUGGGGCCGGGUUGCAUAAAUUCCAAUUUAAUAGAAUAAUUGAGCAAGUCACAAGUAAGCAAAACAGCGCUGGGCGGCCGGGGGGGAGUCUCCUGCUCCACCAACGGCGCACACAACCCCCCCUCACAGUCUCCUUAUAUGCGAUUCCAGUUCCG